AUAAACUCAAGGAAAGCUCGACCCUGGGAGAAGGGUUCUGAUGAAACGCCUGAAAUGUUAACUCUUUCUCUACAGAAAGUGAACUGCUGAGUAUUUACAACGUAUCCUGCUUUUAUUGCAUUAGAUAUCCAAAAUGCUCAAAUCGCACUUGUUGGCUAUCUAAUAACCCAAUAAUAGCAAUUAUCAUUCUUGGAUGGAAGAAAGGAGGUCUCCGUGGGUUCAGAGGGAACUCAGAUGGAAGUCCUGGUUAUGGAAGUUUGGAUGCUCUGUAGCAGGCUUAGGAGUCAGAUUCCUGAGCACUGCACAACACUGAACUCAAGGGUACUGCUGCUGAGUGACCAGACUGUCCAACUUGCUAAAGUGACCAACAGAAUAGAGAUCUGGACCAGAUGGGCAUAAAAUCCAAACAGAUACAUUUCAAAGCAGAUGCCACCUAAUCUGCCAAAUAACUCCACCAAUUUCAGUUUUUACUUCAGACUUCCAGAUAUGAAGGUUUUGGCUUUUCAAGCAUUAAAAUUAAACCUGGCUCACUUCAAUCAACUUCUGCUCAUAAAUGAAUCAUCAGACCAGAGGCAGGCUCAAAUGCACCAGUAACACAUCUGCCAUGUUUGGUAAAUAUUUUACUGUGAUAAUAAAACUCAUUAAAUAGAGAUUCCAGCAUAAAUUUCAAAAAUUUAUGCCGAACUAAAUCGUCAAUUCAAUUACAACUUUUUCAAUAUAUGUCCAUCUGAGCCUGGAUUCACCUCCUAUCAGCUCUUCAUAAGUGCAUAUUAGUUCAGUGAAUCAUUCUAACUUGCCAGUGUUAUUUUUCUGACAUCAUCACAAUAUGUUAGGCCGGGUAGCACACUGUAUUGGCAUGUUGCACUACAGUAUCCCCUUAGGGUUAUGGGUAAAUUCAUUGCCAGACCUAUAGGUCAAUUACUUGUGAAUGACAAGUUAACAUUCAUAGUUAGACUGUUGGAAUAAGUACCAGUAUUUUUAGGAAAAUGGCAGGAAAGAUAUCAAUAUGGAUAUGACCUACAAACUUCUGGUGAAAAAUGGUGUAUGGUCAUGCUGUAAACACACAUUUAGGCUUGUCUGUGACAGGCUCUUUGAUCAAGUAACUUGCUUAUUUUUUCUGGAGGCUGCUCCAGUCCCUUUGGCCAUGUUCCCUUAUGGAGAAAAGAGAGCAAGGAAAAGAAUGGAAAGGGAAGGACAACAAAGACAGUGGCUACUGAGUAAGUUAAACCUACAUUCUCUAGUCUGGGAGAAAGGAGCAGCAGAAAAAAAGUUUUUAAUGAAAUUAUUGCAACAAUUUCAAGUUUAACAGCAUAAAUCUAUGAAGUAGACAUCACUGAAUACAGAGUAAUAAAUAGAAAGAUAUGAAACAUGAGGCAAUUUAUAUCUUAAUUCAGGCUAUGUAGAUAAUUUAUGUAUCACAUUAAUAAUUAUAUCCCAUAUUUUCUCUUAUUAAAAAUAUUCUAAUUAUUUCCGUGCACUUACAUUUGAUUUGAUGUAUCAGGUUAAGUCCUUAAAUUUUACUUCCUCAACAUAAGUUUUGGGUCUUAUGCUCAAUCAUGAACAUUUACAGUAGAGAAAUGGCCGCGUCAGCUCUUUCUUUCGAAUAAUUGAAAACUAAUCCAACUGCUUCACGGUCUCUUCAAAGCUUAAAGAUUUCCCUACAUUAAACAUUCUUCCAUUUUUGUUGGUCUCUUAAAUAUACUCUGUGGCAAUGUAUCACAUAUUUCAGAAUUAAAAUAAUUCUUCUCACCUCUCUCCACAUUCUCUUCGUGACAGUUUUAAAUUGAUGUUCUCAUAUUCCUGAUUUUCCUCUCGAGGAAAUAAUCUUACUUUAUUCAUCCUAUUACAAUCAAUCAAAAUGUUAAAAUUCUCUAUUAAACUGUAAAUCAAACUAUUGAGUUUACCCAAUAAAGUAAAACAUAUGACACUGAA